rnacentral:rRNA from 1 species
GCGGCAGGCCUAACACAUGCAAGUCGAACGGUAGCACAGAGAGCUUGCUCUCGGGUGACGAGUGGCGGACGGUGAGUAAUGUCUGGGAAACUGCCUGAUGGAGGGGGAUAACUACUGGAAACGGUAGCUAAUACCGCAUAACGUCGCAAGACCAAGGAGGGGGACCUUCGGGCCUCUUGCCAUCAGAUGUGCCCAGAUGGGAUUAGCUAGUAGGUGGGGUAACGGCUCACCUAGGCGACGAUCCCUAGCUGGUCUGAGAGGAUGACCAGCCACACUGGAACUGAGACACGGUCCAGACUCCUACGGGAGGCAGCAGUGGGGAAUAUUGCACAAUGGGCGCAAGCCUGAUGCAGCCAUGCCGCGUGUAUGAAGAAGGCCUUCGGGUUGUAAAGUACUUUCAGCGGGGAGGAAGGUGUUGUGGUUAAUAACCGCAGCAAUUGACGUUACCCGCAGAAGAAGCACCGGCUAACUCCGUGCCAGCAGCCGCGGUAAUACGGAGGGUGCAAGCGUUAAUCGGAAUUACUGGGCGUAAAGCGCACGCAGGCGGUCUGUCAAGUCGGAUGUGAAAUCCCCGGGCUCAACCUGGGAACUGCAUUCGAAACUGGCAGGCUAGAGUCUUGUAGAGG